rnacentral:rRNA from 1 species
UACGGAGGGUGCAAGCGUUGUCCGGAAUUAUUGGGCGUAAAGCGCUCGUAGGCGGCUUUUCACGUCGGGUGUGAAAGCUCGGGGCUUAACCCCGGGUCUGCAUUCGAUACGGGCUGGCUGGAGUGUGGUAGGGGAGAUCGGAAUUCCUGGUGUAGCGGUGAAAUGCGCAGAUAUCAGGAGGAACACCGGUGGCGAAGGCGGAUCUCUGGGCCAUUACUGACGCUGAGGAGCGAAAGCGUGGGGAGCGAACAGG